UCCACAGCCGCCGUAGAAAAAUGGCAGCCUCCUUGUUGUCCCAGGCCAUCAGGAGGUGUUCAGAACGCACCUGUGCUGUUGCUCUCAGGAGGAGUUGGAGUUCAGGUGCUACUGCUCCAUCUGUCUUCACCAGGUUCCUCCUGAAACUCAAUCAUUACUUCUAUGAUGUGGAGAAUGUUGUGGGCUGGAGCAGCUGGUUAAGGACACGAGUAGUCGGACGCAAGAAUAAGUUUUUUGGUUACACACAGCAAAGGUUUGGUGAUAAUGUUGCUGCGGCUUAUUAUAUUUUGACUCUAAGAGGGAGCUUCAGAUUUGCAGGCCAGUCUGAAUGGUUUCGUCCAGACUCAAGAGGAAGAUUCAGCUAUGAAUUCGUCAGCACACCUGACACACAUAUUGAGGAAGUGGAUCUGAGUGGCACCCUAAUAAACCAUGAAGGACUUGACAACCUUGUGAGUCAGAAUAAACUUCACACACUCUCUCUACGAGGAUGUCAUGAAGUGGAUGACUGGUUCCUCGCCCGUCUGCAUGUGUUUGGUGAGAGUUUGGUGGAGUUAAACAUCUCUCACUGCUCUCGUAUUACGGUGGGAGGACUAGCUGCAUUACAGAACCUCAGAAAAUUAGAGCGACUUGACAUUUCUGGACUCUCUCAGCUGCAUAGUCCAGGCCUGGUGCGGAUUCUCCUGGAGGAAAUGCUGCCGCACUGCCGGGUCACUGGAGCUGAAUACGAGCAGGGCCUGAUCCAGCCAAACAGCCAACAGCCAAUGGAGGACCACAAUGAAGCUUCCACACAUGCAAACACUGGACAUAUAUAAACUACAGGACUGCUGAUAAUGGAGACUUCUUUUAAUGCCCAAACAGCUGCUGUACAUUUCAGUGUACUUAAAUAUUUCAGGUGAAGUAAUCCUGUAAUCCUCACAGUGGAGGUGUGAGGACACUAGAUCUGUGUUUGAAAGACUGAGACAGGCAAAGGUGGAUGACAAAACCUGCCAAGCAAAGGUAAUGUUUUUUUAUGUUAAUCUUUAAACAAUUUAAUUUAUAUCAAUCCAGCUUAAUAUUAAAAACUAUAUAAGUCUUGAAAGCUGUCUCUUCAUGUCAGUGGUUUUUUGUUAAAUAGGAUCCAGGGACCCCCAGAAGAGAGAGAGCGUAAAAAACCUUUGACUUCUGUUUUCUAAAGACUGAUUGGACAUCAUGAGAGUAUUCGUCAUUCAACUGUAUUGACAGUUAUAGUUUUUUAACUGUAAAAUAAACAAAUAUAAUUUGUUAUAUAUGCUUCUAGGUUUUAUAUAUGUUUUUAAGAUGAAGGAAUAGUUUGUACUCUUGCUCACUGGGGGUUGCAAGCCAAUAUUUUUUGUAAAACUGCUUUUUUUUUUUUUUUUUUUUUGCUUUUUUUAAACUGUCUUUAGGUUUAUACAUUAAACAGUACUCUAAUAUUUGUUAGAACAAAGACACACUGUCAAAGCAAAAUAACUAUAUUCCAGAUAAUAUUUUAGUCUUUUCUUUUGGCUUUAGUACAAUAACAAUAUAAAAAACAAUUACUUAAUUUUUACUUAAAAGUAUUUUACUUAAUACGUAAUUAACAACAUCUUGUCUUAAUAAAGAAUCAUAUACAGUGCG